rnacentral:rRNA from 1 species
CUACGGGACGCAGCAGUCAAGAAUCUUCCCCAAUGGACGCAAGUCUGAGGGAGCGACACCGCGUGCAGGAAGACGCUCUUCGGAGUGUAAACUGCUUUUCUCUAGGAAAAAUUUGCGAUGGUACUAGAGGAAUAAGGGGCUGCUAAUCACGUGCCAGCAGCAGCGGUAAUACGUGAGCCCCGAGCGUUAUCCGGAUUUAUUGGGCGUAAAGCGCUAAAAGGCUGUGAAGAAAGUCGAGUAUUAAAGCCCAGGGCUCAACCCUGGAUCUGUACUCGAAACUUCUUCACUUGAGGAUGGGAGAGGCUAGUGGAAUUGCUGGUGUAGCAGUAAAAUGCGUUAAUAUCAGCAGGAACACCAACUGCGAAGGCAGCUAGCUGGAACAAUCCUGACGCUAAAUAGCGAAAGCGUGGGUAGCGAAGGGGAUUAGAUACCCUUGUAGUC